AACGACCGUUCCAACUGUUGUCGUUCAGAAUUCUCCCGAGUGGAGCACGACUUUACACGAGUUUACACGAGUGAAUAAAGUGAAUCUGAUUGGUCGUUUAUCAAGAGGGCGGGAUUGUUGAGGCGGAGAAGGUGCGCAAGCAUGUUUGAUUGUGGCCGGUUUCUCUUAGCAACGGGCCAACGCCAACGACGCUGUCAAGAAGGAACGCGACAUGGAAGAGGCCGCCAGGGUGGAAGAAACUUUCUCUGUAGAAGGCAUACGACCAUAAUGUUUGAGCCCUUGCCUCGUCGCAACGCUAGUACGCCAGCCGAAGACACAGACGUCCAACCCCGUGAACACUGGAACGUAACUCAAUGGUGGAGCUUUCCCAUGACCAAGAGAUGAACGCUAAACUUGA